CACCUAAAAAACUAAAAAAUAAACAUUUAAAAAAAAUUUUUUUUUGAGGGGCUGGGGAUGUGGUUCAAGUGGUAGCGUGCUCACCUAGCAUGCGGGAGGCACUGGGUUCGAUUUUCAGCACCGCAUAAAAAUAAAAUAAAGAUAUUUUAGAAAAUAUUUUUUUUGAGACAGGGCCUCACUAAAUUGCUGAGGCUGGGGGCUGGGGCUGUGGCUCAGUGGUAGUGCACUUGCACUGGGUUCAAUUCUCAGCACCACAUAUAAAUAUAUAAAAUAAAGGUCUAUCAACAACUAAAAUAAAUAAAUAGAUAGAUAGAUAGCUGAGGCUGGCCUUGAACUUGUGAUCCCCUUGCUUAGCUUCCUGAGUAGCUAGGAUUACAGAAGUAUACCACUACACCAGGCUGGCACCUGUUCAUUUAGCUUCUUAAAAAAACAUCAGCUCUUUUCCCAGAGAAUAAAAUAACAAUAGCUUCUUUAAUUUGUACUUCCAUACUCAAAUCAUCAGAUUCCUCUUUCCAAGACUUCUACUUUACACUGUUUCAUUGCUCUCUUUGGUUUCCUGUUUUGUGAAGGCAAAAACUAAACAAAAAUUAUAGUAAUCAAUUUCCCAGUCACAAAUGUGGUUUUCAGCUACUUUUAAUACUAUAAUCUCAUGUUUCUGAGAUCCAUAACUUAUUGUUAUUGAUAAAAUAUUGUUCUUUUAUUGAAUCUAAGCUGCCAUCAAUAGUGAGAUGCACUAAGAAAUAAAAAUUCUGGGACACAUCAUUGAUUUUUAAGAUGCAUCCUAAUUUCAGAGAUGUUAAAAGUGGAACACUGCCUCAGAAUUGGAGGAACAUUUAAAAAAAUUUUUUUUAGUUGUUGAUGGACAUAAUACCUUUAUUGAUUUUAUGUGGUGCUGAGACUUGAACCCAGUACCUCACACAUGCUAGGCAAGCACUCUGCCAUUGAGCUACAGCCCCAGCUCUGGAGGAACAUUUUUUUAAAAAUUAUUUUAGUUGUAGAUGGACACAAUACUUUUAUUUUAUUUAUUUAUUUUUAUGUGGUGCUGAGGAUUGAACCCAGUACCUCACAUGUUAGGCAAGCACUCUAACAGUGAGUUAUAUCCCCAGCCCCUGGAGGAACAUUUUAUGUAAAAGAAAAAUGUCAAGAAGCACAUAUCCUAAAGAAGCAUUAGGAUAAGUAUAGUAUGACUCCCAUAGGUUUUUUUUUUUUUUUAAGAGAGAGGAGAGAGAGAGGGAGAGAAUUUUAAUAUUUAUUUUUUAGUUAUCGGCGGAUACAACAUCUUUGUUUUGUAUGUGGUGCUGAGGAUUGAACCCGGGCCGCACGCAUGCCAGGCGAGCACGCUACCGCUUGAGCCACAUCCCCAGCCCUCCCAUAGGUUUUUAACCAACCCAUUCCAGAGAGUUGACUGUAUGGUUCCUUUCUUUUUAUCUUGAUCCAAUCCAAGAUCAGGUAACUGUAAAGCAAUAACACCAUAAUAUUGAUGCUUAUUUAGCUUAUUUUGACCUUACUUUUUUCUAGUGCAUAGCAUACAUUCAUUAGAUGUAUAAAAAGUGAUGGAGAAGGUUAAAAGAUUAAAAGUUAAAGGGACAGCAUUUAGCAAAUAAUGAGGUUCUAGAGAGGAAGCAUAGGGUUCAAUUUGCUUUGCAGAAAAAAAAAUAAUUUUUUGGUAGAGAAGAAGGAAAAGAAAGCUCAAAAAUAAAGGGCCAAGUAAUUUUGAGGUAGGCAAGAAGACAUAAGGAUAGAUAGAAAGGAUACAUGGGAAGAGUGGCCCUGGAUUAAAAAUCUAGAUUUAGAAGUCCCUUUCAUAUCUUAAUCAUAAACAGCACUGUUCAAUCAGUUAUUAGACCUUAUCCACAGGUACACCUAUGUAGUAUCAUGUUCCAAAGCAGAAUGUAUCAAAGACAAGAAAAGUAAAUAAUCCUGGUAUUGCUGUUAUUCCACUAUUCAGCAAAUGAACCCCAUUCUGGUAAUGGUCAGCAUGUCCAGUUAACCAACACAGGGGAGAACUAAAAACAAUCUCUUAGAUCAUGUCUCUGUACUAUUCAUCUUACAAUCAUAUAUAAAUGUGCCUACCUGAGAUAUAGCUAGGGCAUUCCUCUCCUGUGCCCAUACACUACCCUCUCAGAGUGUGUAUUUCUUUCAGUAACCUCAGUCUGUUCCUUACUUAGACCCUUUUUAAAGUUCCUUUAUGUGAUGAUAUUAAGAAUCCAAGGAUUCUCACUGCCUGAGUUGAGGUCCACCUCCCUUCUGGGGGAAACUCCUUGAUACUCCUGCCUGGUGAUGAUUUCAUUUUAUAACAC
rnacentral:lncRNA from 1 species